CCUACGGGUGGCUGCAGUGGGGAAUAUUGGACAAUGGGGGCAACCCUGAUCCAGCCAUGCCGCGUGUGUGAAGAAGGCCCUCGGGUUGUAAAGCACUUUCAGUGAGGAAGAACGCCUGGUGGUUAAUACCCAUCAGGAAAGACAUCACUCACAGAAGAAGCACCGGCUAACUCCGUGCCAGCAGCCGCGGUAAUACGGAGGGUGCGAGCGUUAAUCGGAAUUACUGGGCGUAAAGCGCGCGUAGGUGGCUUGAUAAACCGGUUGUGAAAGCCCCGGGCUCAACCUGGGAACGGCAUCCGGAACUGUCAAGCUAGAGUGCAGGAGAGGAAGGUAGAAUUCCCGGUGUAGCGGUGAAAUGCGUAGAGAUCGGGAGGAAUACCAGUGGCGAAGGCGGCCUUCUGGACUGACACUGACACUGAGGUGCGAAAGCGUGGGUAGCAAACAGGAUUAGAUACCCUAGUAGUC
rnacentral:rRNA from 1 species